ACAAUGGAUCCAUGCUUUCGUAACGUUUUGGACGUUACGUAAGGCGUGGCCGCGUCCGCUGGCAUUGCAGCCCGACCCCUGUUUGUGCGGAACCAGGGAGCGUGCGGCUCGUGCUACGCGUUCGCCUCAAUAGCGGCGCUGGAGCCGCGCGUGCGCAUCCUCACCAGCAACACCAUGCAGCCUGUGUUCUCACCGCAAGACAUCGUCAGCUGCAACCAGUACAGCCAGGGCUGCGCCGGCGGCUUCCGCUACCUGAUCGCCGGGAAGUACGGCAUGGAUCGAGCGCGGCAACGACAUGUGCGGUUUCGAGAGUAUGGCUGUCGAUGUUGACGUCAGUCCGUAUUGAUGAUGUCACCAACUCCUGAUGGCGUCGGCACCUACCAACGAGGACAUUCCCAUCGACGGUGUGUCUCUUCAGAUGACGUCAGCAUGCCCACCUACCAUCAGCCCCUGCUGAUAUUCGAUGACAUCAUAGUAACCGAGUGGCGUCGUUGACGUGCCCGCGCCGGCUUCGCGGAGCGGAACGC